GAUGAACGCUGGCGGCGUGCUUAACACAUGCAAGUCGAGCGAAGCACUUAAGUUUGAUUCUUCGGAUGAGGACUUUUGUGACUGAGCGGCGGACGGGUGAGUAACGCGUGGGUAACCUGCCUCAUACAGGGGGAUAACAGUUAGAAAUGGCUGCUAAUACCGCAUAAGACCACAGUACUGCAUGGUACAGUGGUAAAAACUCCGGUGGUAUGAGAUGGACCCGCGUCUGAUUAGGUAGUUGGUGAGGUAACGGCCCACCAAGCCGACGAUCAGUAGCCGACCUGAGAGGGUGACCGGCCACAUUGGGACUGAGACACGGCCCAGACUCCUACGGGAGGCAGCAGUGGGGAAUAUUGCACAAUGGGCGAAAGCCUGAUGCAGCGACGCCGCGUGAAGGAUGAAGUAUUUCGGUAUGUAAACUUCUAUCAGCAGGGAAGAAAAUGACGGUACCUGACUAAGAAGCCCCGGCUAACUACGUGCCAGCAGCCGCGGUAAGAC
rnacentral:rRNA from 1 species